UGGGGAAUAUUGCACAAUGGGCGCAAGCCUGAUGCAGCCAUGCCGCGUGUAUGAAGAAGGCCUUCGGGUUGUAAAGUACUUUCAGCGAGGAGGAAAGCGGUAAGGUUAAUAACCUUAUCGAUUGACGUUACUCGCAGAAGAAGCACCGGCUAACUCCGUGCCAGCAGCCGCGGUAAUACGGAGGGUGCAAGCGUUAAUCGGAAUUACUGGGCGUAAAGCGCACGCAGGCGGUCUGUCAAGUCGGAUGUGAAAUCCCCGGGCUCAACCUGGGAACUGCAUUCGAAACUGGCAGGCUAGAGUCUUGUAGAGGGGGGUAGAAUUCCAGGUGUAGCGGUGAAAUGCGUAGAGAUCUGGAGGAAUACCGGUGGCGAAGGCGGCCCCCUGGACAAAGACUGACGCUCAGGUGCGAAAGCGUGGGGAGCAAACA
rnacentral:rRNA from 1 species